rnacentral:lncRNA from 1 species
GGAUGUAAGUUUCCCGAGGGCAGGGGUUUUGGUUUGUUUUGCUCACAGAUGUGUUGCCACAGACUAGACAGUACCUGGCCCCCAGUAGGUGCUCAAUCUGAGGCACAAGAAUCGCUUCAGCCCAGGAGGUGAAGGUUGCGGUGAGCCGAGAUCACGCCACUGCACUCCAGCUUGGGUGACACAGUGAGAUUCCGUGUCAAAAAAAUACCCAUUUAUGUACUUACGUACAAAAUAUCUGAAACUGCUAAGACUGGGUAGUAAUUACAUGGGUGUCUCUUAUAUUAUGCUAUUUAAAUGUUUUAAAAACAUUUAAUAAUUUUUAAGAUCCUAAGAAACAAGAAUACUGUAAUAAAAAAAUCCAAUAUCGGACUCUACUCCCUUGUAGAUUAGGAAUGAUAUCCCUGCUCUUUUUCCCCCCAAUG